GACACUAUAGCCAAGUGGUUAAGGCGACAGAUUAGAACGGCAUCUCCGUCCUACGACGAAUAUCUGUUUCUCUCUGAGAGCGUAGGUUCGAACCCUACUGGUGUCG